CNACCAUGCAGUCGGACGGUAGCACAGAGAGCUUGGUCUCGCGUGAGAAGUGUGGGACGGGGGAGUAUAGUGUGGGGAUCUGCCCCAUAUAGGGGGAGAACCCCUGUGAACGGUGGCUAUUACCCCACAACGUCUCACGACACAAGAGGGGGACAUUCUGGCCUCUCUCUAUCUGAUAAACCCCCAUGGGAUAAUCUAUUAUGCGGGGUAAUGGGCCCCCUAUGCGACAAUACCUAUCUGGGCUGAGAGGAGGACCCCCCCCACUNNNNNGGGACNUGAGNACACGGUCCCCACACCCUACAGGAGGCAGCCACUGGGGAAAAUUGCACAAUGGGCGCACGCCUGAGGCAGCCACUGCCCCGUGUAUGAAAAAAGCCUUCGCGUUGUAAAGUACUUUUUCAGCGGAGAAAAGGCGGUGCGGUUAAAAACCCCGCCCGAUAGACGAUUACCCCCACAAAAAACACCGGGCUAACUCCCUGCCACCACCCCCGGUAAUACAGAGGGGGCAAGCGUUAAUCGCAAUUACAGGGCGUAAAGCGCACGCAGCGCGGUCUGUUAUAGUCACAUAUGAAAUCCCCGGGCUUUAACCUGGGAAAUCUGCAUUUGAAACUGUGCACGCGUGAGUCUCGUAGAGAGGGGUAGAAAUCUCCAGGUGUAGCGCUGAAAUGCGUAGAGAUCUGGAGGAAUACAGGUGGCGAAAGCGGCCGCCCUGGACAAAAACAGACGCUCACGUGCGAAAGCGUGGGGAGCAACACAGGAUAAGAUACACUGGUAGUCCACGCGCGUAAACGAUGUCGACAUGUGGAGGUUGUGCCCUUGAGAAGAGUGGCUUCCGGAGAUAACACGUUAAGUCGACAGCCUGUGGGAGUACAGGCCGCACAGGUUAAAACACUCAAAUGAAUUGACAGGGGGCCCGCACAAGCGCUGGGAGCAUGUGGUUUAUAUUCGAUGCAACACGAAGAACNCUUAUCCUACUCUUGACAUCUCAGCGAACAGGAGCAGNAGAUGCCCCGGUGCCUUCGGGAANACGCUGAGACACGUGCUGCUAUGNGCUGUCGUCAGCUCGUNGUUGUGAAAAGUGUGGGUUAAGUCCCGCAACGAGCGCAACCCUUAUCCUUNNUGUCACCAGCGAUUCGGNUCGGGANAUCUCAAAGGAGGAACUGUNNCNNNNNNNANNCGAUAAUAANNNNNANNNNCNCAGAGGACUNUACGUGGGGNCNUAUAGANNNNUANNCNNNGNNUCNNAANNGNNUCAUAAUNGGNAAGCNGNUCNCUGCUACGAGUAGGGCUACACACGUGCUACAAUGGCGCAUACAAAGAGAAGCGACCUCGCGAGAGCAAGCGGACCUCACAAAGUGCGUCGUAGUCCGGAUCGGAGUCUGCAACUCGACUCCGUGAAGUCGGAAUCGCUAGUAAUCGUGGAUCAGAAUGCCACGGUGAAUACGUUCCCGGGCCUUGUACACACCGCCCGUCACACCAUGGGAGUGGGUUGCAAAAGAAGUAGGUAGCUUAACCUUCGGGAGGGCGCUACCACUNGGAU
rnacentral:rRNA from 1 species